rnacentral:rRNA from 1 species
CUGCUGCCUCCCGUAGGAGUCUGGUCCGUGUCUCAGUACCAGUGUGGGGGACCUUCCUCUCAGAACCCCUACGCAUCGUCGUCUUGGUGGUCCGUUACACCGCCAACUAACUAAUGCGACGCAUGCCCAUCCGCCACCGGAAUCAACCUUUGGCACCAACAGGAUGUCCCGUCGAUGCAUUAUGCCGUAUUAGACGGAAUUUCUCCCGAUUAUCCGGCUGUGGCAGGCAGGUUGCAUACGUGUUACUCCACCGU